UUUGGGUUAAGUAUGAACAAGGGAGAAACAUGAGGGGUUGAAAAUGGGCAAAGAGAAAGGCAAAAUAUAAAACAAAAUUAAAAAUCACACAACCCAUUUAUGGGCGUGUGUGUGUGUGUACGAGCAGAGGAGAAGAAAAGAGGGGGAGCCCUUCUCAAACCCUAAGCAACGAAUUGGAAGGAUUCUGGCCGAAAUCGAACCUGCAUGAACCUUAAUAGUGAUAAUCUAAGCAAGAUGUAACCAAGGUUUUGAUAGUAAUAUGAUGAACGUGUCAAGGAGAGCUCAAGCAUAGGAGGAUAACGGGUCAAGAUAAGGCA
rnacentral:lncRNA from 1 species